rnacentral:rRNA from 1 species
CCUACGGGAGGCUGCAGUGGGGAAUAUUGGACAAUGGGCGAAAGCCUGAUCCAGCCAUGCCGCGUGUGUGAAGAAGGCCUUCGGGUUGUAAAGCACUUUCAGUGGGGAAGAAAGCCUUGGGGCUAAUACCCUCGAGGAAGGACAUCACCCACAGAAGAAGCACCGGCUAACUCCGUGCCAGCAGCCGCGGUAAUACGGAGGGUGCGAGCGUUAAUCGGAAUUACUGGGCGUAAAGCGCGCAUAGGCGGUCUGAUAAGCCGGUUGUGAAAGCCCCGGGCUCAACCUGGGAACGGCAUCCGGAACUGUCAGGCUAGAGUGCAGGAGAGGAAGGUAGAAUUCCCGGUGUAGCAGUGAAAUGCGUAGAGAUCGGGAGGAAUACCAGUGGCGAAGGCGGCCUUCUGGACUGACACUGACGCUGAGGUGCGAAAGCGUGGGUAGCAAACAGGAUUAGAUACCCUUGUAGUC